rnacentral:pre_miRNA from 1 species
UUCUUACUCCCUCUGUUCCGAAUUACUUGUCGCAGAUAUGGAUGUAUCUAGAUGUAUUUUAGUUCUAGAUACAUCCAUUUCUGCGACAAGUAAUUUGGAACGGAGGGAGUAGAAU